rnacentral:lncRNA from 1 species
UGUUUUAUGAUUUCUUAAUCUUUAUCUACUUCCGAAUCCUUUCAGCUUCACCCCUCGCGCUAUGGCAUGUAACCUGUAAAUUGCAUAUGAAUUUAAGAAAAAAAAUAAUAGUAUAUGAUAGACUUUGUCAAUGCCAUUUCAAUUUCUAACGUGUAAUAAAAAAAUAGUAAAGAUAACAGAAUUUCUUAAGAGUACACGGUAAUAAUUUAUAAUUUAUUAUUGUAAACAUUAAAAACAGAAUAUAAUUUAAAAACUUACCUCAAAUCAAUUUGAUAUACCAAUUAAUAAUUAAUAAUUAUACGAUAUUUAGUACGUCCGAACUAAUAUAUCUUUUCAUGAAAACGAACGUCUCUAUUAAUAAAUUUCUUCAAAAAUAUACGAUAUAGUAGAUCAUAUUGUUAUGUAAAGUCCUACUUCCAAAAGACCCAUCAGUAUGAAAUCUAGAAGGCGUGACCUAAAGAUGAAUUUCUCAACAUAUGCAAAUAUUUUCUUAUACUUCUAAUGAUCACACUUAUACAUGUUUUAAUUUUUAAUUGAUAUAACAUAUUUCAUUUGAAAUGUUUUGCUAGAAAGGAAAAAAAAAACUCGAUAUUUCAACCCAGUUUGUGAGCUAAUCAUAAAAUAGUGUUGAUAACAUAAUCUCGAGAAUAACCUUUUUUCAAAAGGUAAAAAAUUAUCAACACCUGGUGUUUACAUCAAGCCAAUACAUACAUGCCAUGUGUUUAAAUUUAGAGUACAUUUUACUUAAUCAUAAUUAAUUAGCUUGUAUUUUAUAUUAGUAAAUUAUUUAAUCAUAAUAAAUUAUAUUAAUUUAGUGUAAACACUAAGUGUGGACAUAUUUUUACCUUUUCAAAAUAGUUUCAAAAAUUUUAUUGAAUAUUUCAGAAUAAAGAGAACAUAUGAAUUCAUUUAUUUGGAUCAAUUUGGAUGUAGAAGAGAACAAACCUCAUGAGGUAGACAUCUAUAAUCAUUAGUCUCAUAGUCCAUUGCCUCCUUAAUACUCCUGCAAGCAUCCACUAUCACCAAAGCAAAUUCCCCUCAAAAUGUCUCAAACUUCAUGUUAUUCUUGUCAACUGUUCGAUGUGUGCUUUCCCAAAAAUCAUCUAAAAAACACAGCCAAAUCAAACAAUAUUCGAUCUAGGUUCACCACUAAAGAAAGAAAAGAAUAGAAAUAAAAUAUGCACAAAUUAAACAAAUUUAGUUUUUAGUUAAGAGAAAAAAAAGCCAGUCAAAAGAUGAACAAUAAAAUUAACCCUAAUAUCUAAGAGUUUAAAAUCAAACUAAUUUUCACCACUUAAAAAAAUAACAUUUCAAUAAUUUUUUUUUUUUUUUUAAAAACCUAUGUUAUAUACUCUAUUCUCACACACCCAAUCUUUCCCUUUCUUCUAACUAUAUUAGAGGAAUAGAAAGCCAAGACUUGGGGAAUGAAGAGAAAGCCAAGAAGAAUAUUAAGACAGAUAAGUGUAGGUUAAGGAGUACCUGAAUUUUCUAAUGUUUUUCAAACAAUGAGGAAGUUCAUAGACAACUUGGUUGUCAAUUCGCUUAGUUGCUGUAUCUGAAGUGCUUAAACCUUGUAUUGAUGAAAUCACAUAAUAUUCAAUGACGAAUUUAAAAUUUUCACUAAGGAGGUUUGAAAACUAAAAAUAUAGUGAUUGAGAUAUGAACUUGAACCUAAAGGUGAAUAUUGAACUUCCUCAACUACUGAUCCAACCUCUAAUCUUACGUUCUAAAGGUUCAAAAUCAAUAAAUACACAUAGAAUAUUUUUUAAAAAUUCUAUUGAAUACGUGCCAUGAACCUAGCCAAAAAUUUGUUGGACAACAUUACAAUAAUUUCAAUCAAAUAAUCACAAAAUAAAAAUAAAUUAAAUCAGAAGAUGAAAAAAAAAAUUCACAACAAUUGACAUAUAAAAACAAUUAAAAUAGUACAUGAAAAUUCGUUUCUUACUUCAUUAUUGAAUACUUUUUCUUUGAAAUCAAGAGACACUAAUAAGGCCACGAAGAAAAUUUAUUAUCAUAUAUUGACCAUGAGAAAAAAAAAAAAACACAAACGAUUAUUAUGACCAUUAGGGUAUUAUAUUGAAAGUCCAAAAUAUAACCCUAUCAAUUAGGAUUUCUAUUUAAAAUAUAUAAUUAAUUUCUUUUCAUAAUUUCAUUUUAUAAGGUUGUUCUCAUAUAUUGUAGGAGUCCUUAAUCUUUUUAUUUUAGUUAUAAUAUUUAAUUCAAAUAAGGAAAGAAUUUGUAUAAAACAUAAGUUUAAAUUGAUAAAAAUCCUAUUCAAGUAAGGAAAGAAAUUCUAAAUUGAUUAAAAUCCUAAAAUUUAGAAGUAGUUUAAAUAAGGAAAAUUUUUUAAACUAAAAGUUAUUAGGACAAGAAUUUAAUUAAAAAUUUAUUUGAUAUAAAUAAGUUUCCCAACGUACCCUAAUUAUUUUUUUUUUUUGGGGAGAAAAACAGAAAUCAAAGUAAAAAAUUCAAUUGAGUUAAAAGUGUUAAAUAAUGAUUUAUUUUUGGAACUAAAAUCAUAAUAAACGUACAGUAGUUUUUUCAAAACUUUAAGUGAGAUUUUCUUUUUCUUUUUUACUUAAAGUUUUCUAUUAAAUCAUUUUUUGUUCUCUUAUCAUAUAUUUUAGGACUUUUUUCUCUAUAUAUUUUUAUUUUAUCAUAUAAUUUAGCUCUCCUUGCUUUUAAAUAUUAAAAGUAUAAUUAUAUAAUAAUUUAAGGAAAAUAGUGAAAAGACAAUUUCGUCUAUUGCAUAGUAUUUUAAUGAAGGACAAAAAGUUCAAAUCAUUUUUCUAAGGGCCUUCACACUUUUAAUAUACUAGUCCAGUGUACGUGCUUUGCACGUACAUCACGUCAAUAAAAAAAUCACCUACAAAAAGAUAAAAUAUAUAAUAUGUAAUUGCAAUUACAAUAUAGUAUGCAACAUUAUAUUUAUUUAAAUGAGCAAAAUAUAUAAAAUUUUAGAAUCUGACUUAAACCCAAAACACUAAAGAAUUAUACUUUACAUCCUAAAUAUUCAUAUCUACAGCAUAAAUUAAUGCAAUAAAAGUUGAGAUUAAAAAAAAUAAAUUUGAGACAAAAAUUAACGUAGUAAAAAUUAGUCGAAGAAGAGAAUGUGAAAUUAUAAUGGUAUUUUUUUUUUAUAAAAGUAUAGGAUUCAUAAAUUAAAAAAGAUACUAAUUAACAUUAUAGUAGAAUUUUUAUAUUUUAGCCAAUAUUUUUUUCCUUUACUGGAAGAACCAAAAACAAAAACAAUCGUACCACAUUUUUUUUUCUUUGGGGUAAAGUAAACGACCCCUUUUUAUUUUACAAAAUCAUAAAUAAUCGGGCUUUUAGUUUUUUGAAAAAUAGUCAUGCACACAAUAAAACACCAAAUAAAUUUUUUACCAUAAAUUUAGAAUUUUUUAUUUAUUUAUUAUAUCCAAUAUUCAAUAUAUUAUAAAUUAAAGAGAGAAAAAAGUAAAAAACAAUUUUGUCUGAAGCAGAGACUUUUAAUGAGGUGAAAAAUGUUCAAAUCACUUUUCUAUUCUUGGGAAGAGUAAAUGGGGCUUUUAUUUUUUUUGGAAAAUUGUCCUGCACAUAAAACACCAAAUAACAAUUUUACCAUAAAUUUAGCAAUUCAUUUAUUUUUUAUUUAUUUAUUGUAGCCGAUAUUCAAUAUAUUAUAAAUUAAAGAGAGAAAAAAGUAAAAAGACGAUUUUAUUUAAAAUAAAGACUUUUAAUGAGGGGCAAAAAGUUCAAAUCACUUUUCUAAGGGUCUUCACACUUUUAGUAUAUUAUAGAUUAUAGAUGUAUAUGAUAUACAUAUUUGUCUUUUCAAAAUAAAAGUUAGAGAUAGUAGGGUAAAAAAACGAAAAAACCGAAAAAAACAAAAAGAAAAAAAGAAAAAAAAAACGAAAAAAGAAAAGUGAAAAAGAAAAAAAAGGAAAAAGAGAAACUGAAGUGUAAAAAAAAAAAUUAAAAAAUUUAAAAAAAAAAUAGAAAAAAGAAUAAAACGAAAAUAGAAAAAGAAAAAAAAGAUAUGAGAAAGGAAAAAAAAAAGAGAAAAUAAAGUGGAAAUAAAAAAAUGAAAAAGAAAAAGAAAUCAAAAUAAAAAAAUAAAAUGAUAAAAUGAUAAAAAAGUAGGAUGAAAAAAAACUAAGAAAAAAAGGAAGAUAUACAAGAGAGUGAAAGACAAUAAUGAUGUUUUAUUUUGAAAUCUUGAAGAUCAUGGAGAUAAUUAUCUUUAAAUAUGAAAAAAAAAAACGAAAAAAGAAAAAAAGAAGAAGAGAAAUAGAAGAAAAAAAAUAAAGUGGAAAUAAAAAAAAAAUAAAAUAAAAAAAUAAAAUGAUAAAAAAUAAGAUGAAAAAAAAGGAUAAAAAAUAUGAUUAUAUUUAGGGGAGAUGGAAUAGUGGAGUGAAAAUAGAAAAAUGUAAAGAAGUGAGAGUAAAACAUGCACUUGUCUCAUGAGUAAAAUAAUGCUAAUUUGCUAUAAAUUAUAAUUUUAUAAAAAUAUUGCUAUUUAUUAUAAUUAUAAUCUUAAGUAUGCUACUUUUUGUAAUUUUUUUCUUUCAAAUCUGGCCAGCUUUUGGGCCUAUUUCUUAUGGACUUUUGGUCCAUUUCUGGAAUGCAUACAAACUGCACAUCAGACUUGCUGCUGCUUUAUGCAUACACACUAUAUAUCAGUGUAUUAAAAACUGAUAUCCUCGCUUCUGAUGCUCUUAUACGCUAUAUACCAGCAAUAUUUGACCUGCAAGUCCCGUAUAUUUACUGUAUAUCAACGUAUAUCCACCUUGUUUCUUCACGCUAGUCCCUUUGGGUCUUAGUCUCGGAGAGCUGCAGGGAUGGGAGUCCCCAUUGGACUCGUUAGGAAAAAGUUCAUGCACAAGAGAUAAAAGAAUAAGGAUUAGUACGCGUCUACUAAUAAUAUGAC